GGGCCCAUAGCUCAGCGGCUAGAGCGUACCCCUGAUAAGGGUAAGGUCUCCGGUUCGAGUCCGGAUGGGCCCA
rnacentral:tRNA from 1 species